rnacentral:rRNA from 1 species
UACGAAGGGGGCUAGCGUUGCUCGGAAUCACUGGGCGUAAAGCGCACGUAGGCGGGUUCUUAAGUCAGGGGUGAAAUCCUGGAGCUCAACUCCAGAACUGCCUUUGAUACUGGGAAUCUCGAGUCCGGGAGAGGUGAGUGGAACUGCGAGUGUAGAGGUGAAAUUCGUAGAUAUUCGGAAGAACACCAGUGGCGAAGGCGACUCGCUGGACAGACAUUGACGCUGAGGUGCGAAAGCGUGGGGAGCAAACAGG